CGUAGGUGGUUUGGUCAGUCAGAUGUGAAAGCCCUGGCUUAACCUGGGAAUUGCAUUUGAUACUGCCAGACUAGAGUAUGGUAGAGGGAAGUGGAAUUCCGGGUGUAGCGGUGAAAUGCGUAGAUAUCCGGAGGAACAUCAGUGGCGAAGGCGGCUUCCUGGACCAAUACUGACACUGAGGUGCGAAAGCGUGGGUAGCAAACA
rnacentral:rRNA from 1 species